ACACGUGCUACAAUGGCCGGCACAGAGGGAUGCGACCCCGCGAGGGGGAGCGGACCCCGCAAAGCCGGCCCCAGUUCGGACCGGGGGCUGCAACCCGCCCCCGCGAAGCCGGAGUCGCUAGUAAUCGCGGAUCAGCACGCCGCGGUGAAUGUGUUCCCGGGCCUUGUACACACCGCCCGUCACACCACCCGAGUCGUCUGCACCCGAAGUCGCCGGCCGAACCCGGAAGGGGCGGAGGCGCCGAAGGUGUGGGGGGCGAGGGGGGUGAAGUCGUAACAAGGUAAC
rnacentral:rRNA from 1 species